GCUUGCUAAAAAUUAAGAAUUAGUUUUAGUUAACUUCGAUAAUUCACAUUGGACACAUUAUUCAGUCAAUUAUAGGGCAUGGUACUUUACUUUGACUCUUUAAAAUAGACAGCAAAAUGAUGUCUUAAAUUGACUUCUUAAACAAGUUUCAUCAGCCUUAUGGCCGGAGUAUGUGGGAUUACUCAUGCAGAAAGAACGUUUUAUUUUCUUUUCUCUUUAAAUUCCUGAUGCAGUAUAGGUGAAUUCUACGUAGAAAAAUCAGUACCAUAAUAAAUAAUUUCUGAAUAUAUUAUACUUUUCAUUUGACCCAUAUAUUGU
rnacentral:misc_RNA from 1 species